UGGAGACUUUAGCUGUUGAACGGUAUCUGCUUGAGCCUGAAUCAGAGGAAGGAUCUGAUGUAGAGGAGCCACUUGCCAGUAGAUUGGAAAUGACUCUUCAGACUGGUGUUCUUGUGGAAACUGUGCACAAAUGCCCCAGGAGAGAGAAAAUAUGUUGCCAAUAAAUACCUCAGGUCAUGAAAAGAAUGACCCAGGUUCCUGAGGAGAUAACCUGUAUGACUCACCAUCCCGGCCUUCAUCCGGUGUGCCUCAAUAAAUAUUCUUUGCAAAAUGCAAUGAAUAUUUACAGAGUUGACCAUGGCCAGUUGAGAAUCAGAGGGAUGGAAAGGUGAGGCCAAUGUGAUACCACUGUUAGCAGUUCUAUAACAAUACCCAUUGAUUAUUGGUUCAGCAUUAUUACAAAAACACAGUAUUAUCAAGACAACAAAAUGAAAAACUUUAUUUAGUUUAAAAACAAUCAUUACUCUGAAAUCUAAAGAAAAAUGUGGUUGUCCACUCACCCUGUUCCUUU